rnacentral:lncRNA from 10 species
CUCUUCCAGCCCGUCGUCGCCCUCGCCCACCACAUCGAUGUCCACGUCCUCGGCCGUCAGCACCGUCUGGCCGGACAUGUCGCUGGCGCUGCCGCCGCCGGAGAGGGUCAUCCCUCCUCGGGAUCCAGCGGGAGGCGGGGCCACGUGACCGUGCGUGACGUCAGGGCCGCGGCCGAGCCGGCCAAACUCAAGUUGGUUCAGGGAAUUGUCAACAAAGGGACGAGAGACGCGCAACUCCGCUCCGCACUGUGCGCCAGCAUCCCCGGGGCACGGAGGGCGCUGCGGCCCGCCCGGAGACCCCCCCACCCAGGCUGGAUCCGGGCCCUGGGGCCCAGGGAGCGGGUGGGUGUGAGUGUGGGUGGGUGUGAGCGAGUCAGGGCGUGGGCCUGGGAGCGUCCGCGGGACUGUGCGACUGUCGCUGCCCUGCCUUCCCCGCCCCCUCUCCCUUCCGCCCUUCUCCCCCCCACUUUGUCACACUCCUUAGACAGGGACUGGGCGACCUAGAACGAGGUUCCCAUAUCGUGUUUUAAAAAGCAAAACUUAGUCUCUGUUUUGCUUUUUGUUUCAUUGUUUUUAGCUUUAAAGAGUAAGAGCAGCGCACCCGGCUCCCUCCUGCUAAUUAGAUUUCAGAUUCCCCUCUGGCCUCAGUGCUCAUUCCGGGGAAGACACCUGCUGAGAUGUCUUUUUCCCCCUCCCCCAACCAAACCACUCAGGUCCUACCUGCUCUUUCCCGGCUUGAUGCGGGCGUGUUUUCCUGUAUGUAUUUUUUCGUGCGGCCACAAAAAGCAUCAGCUGGGGUUCCCGAAGGUCAGAAAAUGGCUAUUGAUUAAUCUACUAGAAUAGUUGCCGAGAGAAAUAAAAACGACGUAAAAUAGCAGGGAACCUAUAAAUAAAGAAGCCAUAACUGGCUACUUGGAGUUGUUAAACGACUUAGCAUAUGAAAAAAUCGGAAAUGAGGCGCUGGGGAAGGAGCUGGGAUUGGCAGCGGCCUGGGUAAGUCGAGUGGAUCCGGGAAGAGGCCUGGUGUCUUCAGGUGUGGACAAAUCCUCCAAGAUUUAACUUCCAAGAAAACCGGCGGCGGAGCGGGUGGAGGAGGCGAGGAUGUGUGGCCAAUGCACGCGGAGUGCAAGGCCGCCUAGUUGGGAGCCGCAAGAGCCUGCCUGGUGUGGCAGGCACACGGAACCCAAUCCCUGUCUGUCCGCUGCGGCCUGGGAGGGGAGCGCCGGCCUCACCAGAGGAAGGAGCACGAGGGGAGGAGUUCCGAGAGGAAAUAAUUAGUGAAAUAUUUGCAGAAGAUGCUGGGAUGUGGAUUUAAUUCCGGAUGGACAGUGGUGCUUCUGAUUCCCUCAGUCUGUUUCCCCACCCACGAUCUCCUCUUUCCUUGGCCUAGACACACCAAAAAUAAUUCAAUAAAAUAAAAAUAAAAAUUUAAAAAUCUGUAAACUUGCUUCAUUACAGGCAUUGAGACACACAGAUUGACUUUCAUCCCCAUUAGACAGUUUCCCAGGAUAUAACACUACUCAUCUGAGGCUGGGAGCAGGGUAGGGGGUGGUGACA